CUCAGACACAGAGGAGAAACAGAGGAUUGCUCCGGUGGCUGCUCCAGCAGAAAAGGGGGCUGCAGAGUCCGGUUUAGCCGAGCCCCAUCUCCCACCAUGGCAGCCCACGUGAUCCACGGCCGUGAUUCAGACGGAAACCACUCUCUCCGCGGCUAACUGAGCUAAUUAGCUUAAGGCAACUUACUACAGCCAAAGAUAAUUAUGCAUUUCGGACUGAAAUAAUUUGUGCCUCCAAGUGUGAGAGGGCAGGGGGGGACCAGCCAAACCGCCUGCCAAAACAGACCAUUAGCAGCUCAUACACUGAUCAAACCCACGUCCCCAUUAUCUCAACCAGCCUCUUCAUUUCUCAUGCGGAGCCAUGUGAAUUGUCCCUCAUAUCUCCCAUCUUCAAGCCACUCAUCUUUAUUCAGUUGAUCUGAUUACAGUUUGCAUUUUCAAUUAAUGCCACAACCCAGAGAGAGAGAGUCGGGUGGGGGGGCGAUGGAAAAGAAGCUGAUUUUCAGAUUGAGUUCGAAAUGCGGACUGAUUGUAAAUGAAGUGAACAAUGGUUGGAUGCACGGAAGAUCGCCCAGAGAUGCGGCGGUCUGCGGCUCUGAAGAAGCACAUCUGGAGCCCCUCCAAGUGCCCCGGGGGUGUCGCUGAGAGGAGCUCCACUCCUCUCAGGCUCCGUCAGAAGCUGUGAUGGGAGAGAAACAGAGAAAACAGGAAGGAAAGAGAGAGAGAGAACAAGGGAGAGAGAGCGUUGGCUGGCAGGGCCUGAUUUGUAGUGCUGAGCAGCUGUUCUGCGCAGAGCUUCCUGUUUUAUCAGCCCCUCAAAGAGAUACUUUGUCAUACAAAACAAUCGCUCGCAGACAUUCUGGAUCCUUAUGAAGUAAACACUCUUCGAUUUACUCCAAAAUACUGAAUAAAUGAUGUCAAAUUGAUAAUCCUGCACCAAUAUGAAGAGGCGGGAAUAGGCUUAAUCAGGAAGAGGUCAAAUUUUGUGUGGAUCCCUUUGAAAAAUGCUCAAAGAGAGGGAUCGAGCAUCUCUUGGAGGACGGCGAGCAUGAGGUUAAAGGCAGGAUAAAGGCAGAAAUAGCCUCUGUGUGUGUGCGUGUGCAAGUGUGUGCAAAAGGUGACGUGGAAAAGGGGGUCUUUUCGGAGGCACAGAAGACGAUGCCUUAUUUGGAUGCAGUUAAUUAGAAAGGUUGAUUGAUUUGAUGGCACUAGCGGGGCGGGACUGCAGAGUGCACUGGUCUGUGAAGGAGUCCACGCUCAGGUCGAUAUUUACGCCUUCCAGGGAAGCUUUAAUAUCAACAUUAAAGGCUCGAUGAAGAAGCGCCGUCUCCCUCUUUUUUUCUUUUUUUUUUUCCCCGUGUUUGUUUGCCAGGACACGAGAUUCUUUUUCAAAUAAAAUUUCUUGUUUGCUCUCACCGUGACUCUGCUCCAGAUAUGUGGUAAAACCCUGUGCAGACUUUGGUUUACAGUAUGCGCUGUGUUUUUUUUUGUCUGAGAGACGAAAACAAGCCUUUUUUAAUGAAGAGCUGUCGUUUGCUGAAGAGGAUAUGAAAGCUCUCUGUUGAUACACUGCGUCCACGUCUAUUCAUCACUUGUGUAUUAACGCUGGACUCCUGUUGAGCAGCUCCGCUCUCGACCCAUACAUUUUUUAUUCACUCUGUUUGCACUAACUCCUCUUCUUUUUUAAAUAAGUCUUCACUAAUAAGUCUUCAACCAUCUAUGAAUCUAACCCUAUCUUACCAUCCACCUUCUUCUUAUCUGGACAUCUGGUUGUUACAAGUAUAGACAGAGAAAAUAAA